AAAUUGAAGAGUUUGAUCAUGGCUCAGAUUGAACGCUGGCGGCAGGCCUAACACAUGCAAGUCGAACGGUAACAGGAAGCAGCUUGCUGCUUUGCUGACGAGUGGCGGACGGGUGAGUAAUGUUUGGGAAACUGCCUGAUGGAGGGGGAUAACUACUGGAAACGGUGGCUAAUACCGCAUAACGUCGCAAGACCAAAGAGGGGGACCUUCGGGCCUCUUGCCAUCAGAUGUGCCCAGAUGGGAUUAGCUUGUUGGUGAGGUAACGGCUCACCAAGGCGACGAUCCCUAGCUGGUCUGAGAGGAUGACCAGCCACACUGGAACUGAGACACGGUCCAGACUCCUACGGGAGGCAGCAGUGGGGAAUAUUGCACAAUGGGCGCAAGCCUGAUGCAGCCAUGCCGCGUGUAUGAAGAAGGCCUUCGGGUUGUAAAGUACUUUCAGCGGGGAGGAAGGUGUUG
rnacentral:rRNA from 1 species